rnacentral:tRNA from 1 species
GGAAGGGUACUGCUCAGUGGUAGAGCACAUGCUUACCAUUGAGUUGAACCCAUGGACAAGGUCCUGGGUUCAAUCCCCAGCACCUCCA